GACGAACCGUGCGAACGUUAUUCGGAAUCACUGGGCUUAAAGCGCGUGUAGGCGGGAUGGCACGUCCGACGUUGAAAUCCCCCGGCUCAACCGGGGAAGUGGCGCGGAUACGAUCGUCCUUGAGGGGCGUAGGGGGACCUGGAACUUCCGGUGGAGCGGUGAAAUGCGUUGAGAUCGGAAGGAACGCCCGUGGCGAAAGCGAGGUCCUGGACGCCUACUGACGCUGAGACGCGAAAGCCAGGGGAGCAAACGGG
rnacentral:rRNA from 1 species